rnacentral:rRNA from 1 species
CGAAGGGGGCUAGCGUUGCUCGGAAUUACUGGGCGUAAAGCGCACGUAGGCGGCUUUUUAAGUCGGAGGUGAAAUCCUGGAGCUCAACUCCAGAACUGCCUUCGAUACUGAAGAGCUCGAGUCCGGGAGAGGUGAGUGGAACUGCGAGUGUAGAGGUGAAAUUCGUAGAUAUUCGCAAGAACACCAGUGGCGAAGGCGGCUCACUGGCCCGGUACUGACGCUGAGGUGCGAAAGCGUGGGGAGCAAACAGG